rnacentral:rRNA from 1 species
GAUGAACGCUGGCGGCGUGCCUAAUACAUGCAAGUCGAGCGAACAGAUAAGGAGCUUGCUCCUUUGACGUUAGCGGCGGACGGGUGAGUAACACGUGGGUAACCUACCUAUAAGACUGGAAUAACUCCGGGAAACCGGGGCUAAUGCCGGAUAACAUUUAGAACCGCAUGGUUCUAAAGUUAAAGAUGGUUUUGCUAUCACUUAUAGAUGGACCCGCGCCGUAUUAGCUAGUUGGUAAGGUAACGGCUUACCAAGGCAACGAUACGUAGCCGACCUGAGAGGGUGAUCGGUCACACUGGAACUGAGACACGGUCCAGACUCCUACGGGAGGCAGCAGUAGGGAAUCUUCCGCAAUGGGCGAAAGCCUGACGGAACAACGCCGCGUGAGUGAUGAAGGUCUUCGGAUAGUAAAACUCUGUUAUUAGGGAAGAACAAAUGUGUAAGUAACUGUGCACGUCUUGACGGUACCUAAUCAGAAAGCCACGGCUAACUACGUG